CAACCAGUACGGGGCGACGACCCGCAGUCCAUCGAAACCGGGCACUCAGACUGCGACGAGCCGGUAGCGCGACCGACGUACGCCCCC
rnacentral:ncRNA from 1 species